UAAGCCACGUGCUCCAGCAAUAGCCUCUGUCAAGGAGACUCACAGGUUUGUUGGGGGCAUGUUCUUACAUGUUACAAAAUGGGGCAUUUAACUUUAAGUGUCCCCCAUGUUUAGUUAAAUUUUAAAAUUAUUACCUUCAUCUUCUGUAUUUCAGAAUUAUUUACAGGCAAAAGACAAAUAUUAGUGUUGACUACAUAGUUUCUACUUACUAAAAAAUUAAUUUAUAUGAACUAUUUAGCUGAUAUUGUACCUGGGACCACAGCAAUAUCCAUUCUGGCACAUACUCCAAGCCUCUUAUUUGGCCAGGUCAUCUGCCUUUCUGGGAACACACUCCGGCCUCUUCCACCUGCUGUUUGUCCCAGGUCACAACAGGAGAAGGGACAUUCAGGCAGUACAGACUCAUCUUCUGCACAGUAACUGUGGUUGUCAUCACACCUGUGCUGCAUUUUCAGAGACACUGUGUGCUGGAGCCACUGGAAAGUGUCUGGAGCUGACCAUGGCUGGAGAUGGGGUAAGGAAGCCAGCUGGGCCAGCUGAGACCUUAUAUACUUGACAAAAGCCAAUCCCAGUCACAUGCCUGUAGUUAGGGAAGAAUCAGCUUUUAGAGACCUGGACUGCAGAGGUGUUUGGUUACAUCAGAACUAAAAAAAUGCCCUUAGUAAGAGUCCCAGCUUUACUCUGGAAGGAGCUGAGAGCAGGGAAGAUGCAAGGAGCAGCCUCACACUUGGCAAUGGAGCAAAUGAAGAGUUUGGAUCUAAAAGCCUCCAGGCUCCAGGGAAGUUCAGGUCCAAAUCUGCACUUUCCAUCUUUACACUUCACCCUUGUUUGUGGUAUCUCAUUUCACUUGGCACUGCUGUGGUGUUUUUCAAGAAGCAGACACAGAAGCCUAUUGGUUUUGGUUCUAACAUUCUGGGAACAGGUUCAGAAAACUGGAAUUUGACUGAGCCUCAUGUCCAAGCUUCACCAAACACUUCAAGCACCAUUGUUAGCAUUUUAUUCUUAAAAUUUCACCCCGUUCUUAACUUAAAGCCCUGGAUCCAAACCUUACCCCUAAACCCACUGCUAAUCACAAUGCACUCUCUUUGAGGUGCCUCUCCCCUGAAGAAACAUCCACUCUGACCCAUUUCCAGAAAUGGUGCCAGCUGAUUGUUACAAACCCAAGGCAGAAUCAGCCUCAUCUGGCUACAGUUCUUGUUAAAGCAUUUCUCAAAGCCUGUGUGGGACUCAGGGGGACUUUGAGGCCACCACAGCUGCUCCUGGCCAGCAGCAGGACACUGGCCCCGAACUGCCCCACAUCCCACCCAGCCCUUCCUCAUACACCUCAAGUAAGGCUCCAGUUCUGCAAAAUCCCAAUCAUUUAAGAGCAUUUCUAGACUUCCAGCACAUGCAUGUUUCCUCUUAUUUCAUCAAAGACUUGAAUUUCCUUCUGGUGACACAAUUUGUCAACACAUGCAGCUCAUAACAGAGAAAAGGUUGAUCAAAGAAUAGCAGGUAACUCUUAUUUACUGCACGAUAGCAAGCUAAAUUGCUGCUAUAGCUUUGUAUUAGUAGCACAUUUAGUGCUUUUAUCAGCAGUUCAGCUGCACCACAUGCUUCCACUUCAGAUAGACAAUUUAAUAACCAGAGAAGAGGGCUUUCCUCCCCCCCAAAGCUCAAUGCCAAUGUUAGGAUGCAGCAAACUGUUGCUUACAGCCAGUGAUUAAAUACUGGAUUUGCACCCAAUGCAGGAAGAUGGGGAGCAAUGUGUGCAGGGCUGGGGGAGCUUGUGGUGGGCUCCUCUACUUGUUAAGGCAGCAGAAAUGGUUGAAAAUAUCAAAGGAAGCAGUAGAAGGCAUAGGCUGUUGAAAUUCAGAUUCACAUUUCAAUUUGGGAUAAACCCUCUGUUAUUUGGAUUCAUCAGUUCAAUUAUGCACCAGAAUAAAACUGUAUCAUUGCAGUAUCAUAUGGCCUCCUUUAAGAAAACAUCAGACAUGAAAAGGUUGCUCCACAGACAUCACUAAUUCCAUUUGGCUUUCUGGGUUUCAGCCUUGGUUUGGGUGCCAGUGGGUCAGACUGAUAACCUGGACAUGCAGUGCCUAUGCUUUUAACCACAUCAUUUAUGAUUGCAUUCCAUUUUUUCUAGAGAAUUCAUAAUUGCCUCAGGAGUACAGAGCUCAGGGGCCACAUGGUGGCCCCAUGUCAGCUGGAGCCUGAACACCCUACAUCCCUCUUGAACAACCAUUGCUCUCCCACACCCAACAAAGCUGCAUGUCACACCCCACACUGCACUAGCAAACCUCAUCUGUCCACCUCCCAAAGGUAGAUAUUUCAUUUAUCAGUGAGAAGGCAGCCCUGGACAACACCAUAUCCCCAGCACAACCUCCCAGUCCUCGGAAACAGUCCCGUUUUACUGGAUUCUUCAGUCCCCACCAGGAGUUAUCUUACCAAACUUAAUUUAAAACAGAAUCAACGUUUAAAGUCUUUACAGGGACAGGGAGGCAGGAUCCAGCCUGGGAGCACACCCAGCAGAGCCCUCGGUACCUGAGCAAGGUGAGCAGAGCAGACCCAGGGGUCACGGCCAGGUUCAGCCAAGAGCCCACACAUCAGGCAGGUUCAUGGCCAAGAGGCAGGUCUGAGGAGAAGCCACAGAGUCAGCCCACGGGUCAAGGUGAGAUCCAACGAGGGUAACCCAGGUCAGACACCAUCCAGCAGCUCCCAGGCAGGUCCCUCACAGCAUCAGGGCUGUUCCUAAGGCAGAAAGUCCACAGAUCUGAGUGCAUUUGAGGGACCCACGGCCCACAAAGGCUGUGGCUGAGCUGCAGACCAGCACCUCUGAAACCCAGCUCAGGGAAGGACUGAGGGACCUGACUGAGCUUAAAUGGGCUCCUGGGCAGAGGCUGUGGGUGAGUCCCCAGCUGAGGCUGCUUGGGGCCCAGGUGGGACCUGGGUUUGUUGCUGGAGCCCGUUAGUGCCCGGGCCUGACAGCAGAGCCUGAUGCAGUCAAAAACCUCACUUUCCUUCACAGUCAAGUCCAUCUGGACAGCACCUCUACCUGUAUCCACACCACACUUCACCCAAUCCAGCCUGGUCAGGAUUAGCAAUGUGUGUCAAACUCUGCUUCCAGUUUGCUAUAUGAACUGCAAAUAAUGGCCAACAGUUCAGGGAUCUGUGAGGGAAACACACCGUGAGGUGAGGCCCCCUUAUGGCUACAUCAAAGGCAAGGCUGCUUCCUUCAAAGGCAGGCAGAAGACUUUUUCUGGAGAAAUCCACGCCCCAACUCCUAAGCAUAUGUGAAAAGGAGGGUUUCUCAGCUUGUGACUUAAGUGACUUGAAACAAAUCAGAUGUUGAACCAUAUGGGUUUGGGGCUUUUUGAGACUGUAAACCUUUUUUAUUACAGGUAAAGCUAAGGAUGGCACGGCUGCAUGCUCCAGAGCUGUGGGGCCAGGAGGUCUGAAGGUAGACAGAAGGUGUAAGAAUAUAUAGGGAGGUAAAACUGCAAAAGGUGAUUGAUGAUGUGUUGCUGAGUCUGGCCUGACAGCAGCUUCAUGGACAUCACAUCAGGGCUGAAGGGCAAAUGUGCCCCACAGAGAGGCACGCUGCGGGCUGACCAGCAGAUUGGGGGCAAUACCUGAACUCUACAGAAGACAACAAACUGAUCUUGCUCUUGGCUUUCAUGCAGCUGAGCAGCCCAGGCAGGUUAGAGGUCUCAGACCACACAUUAUACCAGGUACAAGUGCCCAUUAGUCACUCUGUACAACUCCAGAGGGCUGUAUUUUGACUUGUUAGCUGUGUCUUGGUCAUUUAUCUCUCUGCUUACCUCUGAUUUUUUCUACUCUGCCCGUCUUUGCUUCCCCCACACUAUUGCAUCAAGCCUCUUUAAAAAACAAGAUGAUUGUUCAGUCUCCACAGUCCCACCCAUCUUCCAUUCCACAUUUCCAGUGGUCCCCGUUAGGCAGGUUUGUAACAGAACAGAGAACUGCAGACUCCCCCAAAAAAGAAAAACCUGCACCUACAUCAUGCCCAAAUACAUAGUAUAUUUUGUUCAAAUUAUCACACUUAAGGAGCAACAGAGGCAAAUAAAGAUGAUCUCCAAGUUGCAGUCUUCUGCUGCACUUGGCAUUAAUUAUUUUUGUUGCCUUUCCAGUGGAGAUCUGCCUGUUAAUCCCCACCAGCUCUACAAGCCUCCCUGAAUUACAGUGAGUGUUUCCAUUCUGUGUCACACUCUAACUACCACUCCAGGACGUUCAACAAAGAAAUUAAACAUAAGAAAGGCUGCACUGUAAAUAUUUGAAGAAGUACAAGGUGCAAGUAUAGUUAAUGGCAUACUUUGGUAAUAGAUCAUCCUAUAGUCUACAUUAUGUCAGUAACAGAAUAAUGUUUCAUAACUGAGACAAAUAAACCUGACCCUUUUAAAAAAAGGGCCAUAUAUUGCAAACUGACUAUGUUUAAAACCCAGUACCUGAAUAUGCCAAAAUUUGGAUAAUUGUUUGCAGCAGAGAGAGAAGAUAUGAAUGUGGCUCCAUAUGCAGGGUUUUAUCCUGAAUGCAUUAUCCCCUGCAAUUAAUAUUAUGUUACCAGCCUGGCAAAGGCAUUAACUCCUUUUUAACAUCCUGACCUAUCCACAUUGGCCUGUUACUCUUUAAAACUAAAUUAGAGUACUCUGCCAUGAUUUGUUCUUGACAAAUCUGUAUUGGUUGUUGCUUAUCUUCUUAUUUUCCAGGUAUGUGAUUAUUUGCUUCACCAUUUUUCUGGAAUUUGAGGGUAAGCUGUACAAUUGCUGUACAAUUCUCCUGUUCCUUUUCCUCUCACCUCUCCCACCUUUUAAAGAUAAGCAACACAUCAGUAUUCUGGUAUCACCCCAGUCUGUCCAUGAAUUCAGAGAUACCAUUAAUAGUUCUGAGAUUACUAAAUCCAGUUCUUCAAGUACUGCAGGAUUAAGUCAGCCCCAGCCAAUUAAAAACCCGCUAAGUUAUCUAAGUAUUCUUUAACCUGGUUUUCCCUUAUUCUAUGCUGAAAUACUUCUUUUUGUUAGUAUUAAUAGUGGUAAACAUUUCUUCACCAUUUACUUUUUACUGAAGACUGGUGAAAACAGGCAGUAAAUCUCAUUUUCAUUCAUCAGGGGCUUUUCCUCUCUACAAAGUAAUGGGCAAAUCUUUCAUUUGCUCUUCCUCACAUUAUUAAUGGGCUUAAGAAUUAUUUCUUCUUGUCCCUGAUGUCUCUUGCUAGCUGCAUUUGGUUUUCUACCUUUCCAUUGUGACUCUUCCCUCUACAUAUUUGAGCUAAUCCUUCAUGAUAAUCUUCAGUGAUCUUACAAAUUACAGUUCUUUCCUCUGAUGUCAAUAAAGAAUUUAUGAUUUAGUAAAUCCACUGCAUUUCCUAUACUCUCUCUGCACUGGGAUAGAGCAUGUCUGCCUUUUCUCUCCAAUGAACACCUGUCAGUUCUCUGAAUUGACAGAAGUCAGGCAUUUUGAAGGCAAAUCUCCCCAUCCAAGGAUGAUGAAUGCUAUUGUCUCACUGGCAGUGCCACCAAACUGUCUUCUGCCUUCAUAUUGCUAGCUCCUGAAAGCGUAAGAUCUCCAAGAGCCUCCCCCUAAUCCUUUUGCUCAUCUUCCAUAUCCAAAAAUGGUCUAAAAGUCUUGGAGAAGGCUCUUUGAAGAGUUGUGGUAUCCUCAACCUCCUCAGCCUCAACAGCCUCAACCUCCUCUGACCAUUCCUUUGGUCUUGGGAUGAUUCCACUAUCACUGACAAAAGGCAUCCACCAUCCAGCCAUCCUGACUCAGUACCAACUGCAUUUAAUGGGUGAACAGCCCUUUUUCCUUGUCAUUUCACUUCAUUACCAAUAACCCUUUUCUCCCCAGUUUUUCAGCCCUUCUCCAGGUUGCUGUGACUCAUCUAUACUGUAGAGUCCUUGACUAAUUUAUGUUUUUCUUCCCUGAUGCUGGCAAGUCUAAGCCUAAAGUUUUGGGGGCAGUUGUUUUUGGGGUUUGGGGAUUUUCGGUUUGGUUUGGUUGUUGUUUUUUUGGGUUGGCUUGGUUUAUAAUAGAAAACAGUCAUGGGACAGUCUUGGCCGUGGGAGUUGAAGCUCUCUUGGCAAUAUCCCCCGAACAUCUGUGGGGGGUUAUGGCCAUGCUGUGGGGCUUACAGAGCUGGGCAGAAGUGGCCAGGCAGCACUUGGCAUUGCUCUGUAGCUGUGGCUGCUACAACAGCCUGUGGUCCAAGAGAAGAGUUUCCAGACUGUGCUGUCCUGCCUGACUGGCUAAGACUGGUAUAAAGUGUUCAUUUUGCCAGAGUUCAGUCUGAAUUUGCAGCUCCCUGGCUAUUCAUCACUUUUUCCAAGGGUCAUGAAGAAGAUAUCAUUGAGCUGGCACUGCUGAUCCUAGGACGCAUCAGGGAUUUCAUUAUACCAGGAACUCAGCUAUAAGUCUGCUUUACACAUCUGGAGCAAUGGAAGUAGCUUUAAUUGAGGCUAUAAACCAGCUCAUGAUGACACUUUCUGCCAGUUCUCUGUAUCACAGAGGAUACCCAUGCACUGAAAAGUCUUAAAUCAUUUCUGAGCUAGAGCUUAAAAUCAAUCUAUUUAAAUAUGUUGCUUAAGAGUAAAAGGUUCAUUGAAAACUGCCUUCUGCUUCCCGGAGUAGAGACUCAAUGGUAUGUAUAGAUUUAUCCUCCACAAAGUUUCUUCCCAUAGGGUUUAUUUGAGAAGCUUCUGUACCCAAGUUGAGAGUGGCCAGUUCCCCCUGCUGCAUAAUUUUCUAGAGGCUUAAGUCAGCAGCAGGUUUCAGUCAGGCUAAAGAUCAAAGGCUUUGAUCUCCAUUCAUCUCAACUUAACUAAAAGGAAGCCACAUCUGGAGAAUUUAUCUAAUUCUGCAAGCUAUAAAUAUGUAUGGUUUUGGUACUAUGUAAUUAAUCAAAAGCCUGAAACAGAAUACAUGUGCUAACCUGCAAAGAUGUUGGAUUGCAAACUGCAGGAACUGAUGAAAUACCUUCUGAUGCAUAUUUCUGUGUCUAAGUAAACCACUCCUUUAGCACUUUAUCUUUGUGGAAAGUGAACUCAGUACUGAGGACACAAGCCUUUCAGAGUCCUUAGGAAUUAAGGUUUUCCACAGGAAAACAACCCAGAGCCCUUCCUUGCAGGAUUUUGACUCAGUCCACUCUGAAGACCAGGGCCUCAGUAUAAAACUUGGGUCUAGGUCUAGGUUUGAGUCUCGAAUUUUUCAUUCUCAAAAUUUGGAUUAGCUUAGGUGUCUGGAUCCCAUCUCUGAUUUUUCCCAUUUACUCCAAAUCAGCCAUAAACAGCAGCAAGUUUAAUCUAAUCAGGCAGCACUUUUAGAAGUUGCAAUCAGGCUCCAGUGGUGACUGCCUGCUUUAGCCUCCUAAAUACAACUGAUUUGUGCACAGAAAUGCUGAGACAAUCAGAACUCCUGAUUAGCUGAAUAUGCCACUUGUGUGGUUAGUUUUAAGCUUGUGUACUUUUGCUGCAGGUUCUUCAAGAGCACGGAGCUGCUUUAUGUGAAAACUGUACCUAAAAGCCAGUGGUGUCUCUCCAGCUGUGGGAUGGCAGGAGCACGUGCUCGCACGUUCCCAGCCAAAGUCUGUGCUGGGAAAGGGCUGGGUUGGCAGUUAUGUCGCCUGGUUGGGAACCAGUCCCAAAAAUUCUGAAGACAGAUUGGGAAAAUGAGUAAUGAGGAUAGCCAGAAAGAUCCUCCCAAAACAAACAAGCAAACAAACAAGUGUGGUGCUCUCCCCCUGCCUGUGCUGCUGGCUCUGCCUUCUGGCUCUUGUGGGGCACCAUGGCCAAUGAAUCUCCCCUAUGUCCUUCACCAGCCAGACCCAAGGUCCAGCUGCAAAAAAACUAAAGGUUCCAAAAAGACUUUUCUUUGUGGUCAUCACUGCUGAUGGACUAAUUUCUCUCUUUUAAAACUCCUUUUCUACAAUUGUGGGGGGGAAAUAACUGUAAUGAAAGGCAAAUACCAAGGAGCAGACCAGGACAGCUCUCAGUUUCCAAGCAACACAGACAUUCUGAUCAUGACUAUUAUGAUUUCACCUUUUAAAGAAUCACCCGUCUAUGGCUAAUUUUACAUAAUGGGCUUUAUUAAUAUUAAUUAAAUCUCACAACUUAUAUGUGAUGUAGCUAAGAUACACAGUUUUGAGACAAAAACCAGGUAAGUUACAGGGUCACGAAAGGCACGAGGAUCAUAAUGAAGUCAGAAGUUCUCCUCCCUCCUCAGGACCAAACCUAACCCCUCCCCAGCACCCAGGAUGGCUGCUGCUGCUCCUGUUUUCCCAAGGAACACUUAGGGCUCUGUAGCCUCUCACAGCAUCCAUCACCCAGGACUGAUAACCACCUGAAGCUGAGCAGUGUCUCCGAACCAAAGGAAACAGAGGCAACAGUAUCAGGCCAUAAAUCCAGCGCGAAGAAUCACAACUGGUAGAUACUUUUAAGCGGCUCCAUGUUUUCUAGAGCAAUUCCAGAGCAAGAUUGACUGGAUUAAUUGACAAAGCAAACCACUUUUCCUCCUCACUUCAGAGAACGCUUUGAGAAAAGUUUGUUUCACUCUUCUUGUCCCUGUGAAAUACUUACAACAGGCUGUGACCAGAUCCCUUCCCUUUGGUGCACACCCAAAGUUAGGGAGUGUUUCUCAAGAGGGAAAAAAAUUAAGGACUUAGAAUCAUGCUUACUCAUUAGAAGAGCUCUUGGGAAAGUGUCUCCUUGCUUUUCCACAUUUAAAGCAGGACACUUGUAGAUCUCUAAUUGGCAUUCUGUUGACUCGUUAUUUUUCUGGUCUGUUCACACCCAUCACUGGGUAGUGGCAACUUGAUUACUGAUGGUUUGCACCACAAGAAAAUAAAUGUAAUGCUUUUAAAUGGUGUGCUUACAUGGAGUCUGUCCAUACCACUUUUUUCAUUAUCUGGCUUAGACUAAUUAUUAUUAAGUCUUGUGUGCUGCGUUUGGGCAACCACUUUGAGCAGAAGAGAACUCUGGACAGUGAAAGGCACAUUUCAAACAUGGUCUCUAGGGUUUAUUUCAGCAGAUUUUUUUGCAUGCUUGACCGACCAAGUCUGCAGUAUGAAAACCCAGUGGCAACACAGAAAGUUUAGCUUUACGCUGGUUUUAAAAAGAUAAAAUAAACCUAAUACUCUAAAAUUUA